rnacentral:rRNA from 1 species
AUUGAACGCUGGCGGCAUGCCUUACACAUGCAAGUCGAACGGCAGCACGGGGCAACCUGGUGGCGAGUGGCGAACGGGUGAGUAAUGCAUCGGAACGUACCUUUCAGUGGGGGAUAACGUAGCGAAAGUUAUGCUAAUACCGCAUAUUCUGUGAGCAGGAAAGCAGGGGAUCGCAAGACCUUGCGCUGAUUGAGCUGCCGAUGUCAGAUUAGCUAGUUGGUGAGGUAAAGGCUCACCAAGGCGAAGAUCUGUAGCGGGUCUGAGAGGAUGAUCCGCCACACUGGAACUGCGACACGGUCCAGACUCCUACGGGAGGCAGCAGUGGGGAAUUUUGGACAAUGGGGGCAACGCUGAUCCAGCCAUGCCGCGUGAGUGAAGAAGGCCUUCGGGUUGUAAAGCUCUUUCGGCCGGGAAGAAAUCGCACGGGCUAAUACCCUGUGUGGAUGACGGUACCGGAAUAAGAAGCACCGGCUAACUACGUGCCAGCCGCCGCUGUAA